UACGGAGGAUCCGAGCGUUAUCCGGAAUUAUUGGGUUUAAAGGGUGCGUAGGCGGCCAUUUAAGUCAGCGGUGAAAUUUUGCAGCUUAACUGUAACAGUGCCGUUGAUACUGUUUGGCUAGGAUUUGGUUGUAGUGUGCGGAAUGUGUGGUGUAGCGGUGAAAUGCUUAGAUAUCACACAGAACACCGAUUGCGAAGGCAGCACACUAAGUCAUUAUUGACGCUGAGGCACGAAAGUGUGGGGAUCAAACAGGAUUAGA
rnacentral:rRNA from 1 species